rnacentral:lncRNA from 1 species
GAGUGGCACGACUACAAGCUGCGCUGGGAGCCCCAGCGACUACGAGAACGUCACCUCUAUCCGCAUUCCCUCUGAGCUCAUCUGGCGGCCGGACAUCGUCCUCUAUAACAAGUGAAGGAGGACUGGAAGUACGUGGCCAUGGUCAUCGACCGCAUCUUCCUCUGGAUGUUCAUCGUUGUCUGCCUGCUGGGAACCGUGGGCCUGUUCCUGCCACCCUGGCUGGCCGGCAUGAUCUAAGGAUGGAGCUGGUGUGGCCUGGGCAACUACAGGAUGCGGCAGGGUUGGGUUGCUUGUCCCCGCCCCCCAGCUCCACGGGGCCGUGCCACUGGCCAUUUGCCCACCAUCUUCCAAGUACCUGCUGUGAGCUAGCCUUGGAAAGAGACACUACCUCUGAGGGAGCUGGAGUUUGGGUGCUGGUUCUGGUCCUGCAGCGGCCAGGGGAGGGGCGGCUGGCUGGCAGGGCUGGCACGUGCUUGCUUCAUCCACAGGGCAGUGUCGUGGCUAAGCCCCAUCAAAGUUUCUCCAGAGCAGACCACUUGCUCUCCUGCCUGCAGACAGCACAUGCUCGCCUGAGCCUUGCAGAUGCCCG